rnacentral:rRNA from 1 species
UACGUAGGGACCGAGCGUUGUCCGGAUUCAUUGGGCGUAAAGCGCUCGUAGGCGGCUGCUCAAGUCGAAUGUGAAAACUCGAGGCUCAACCUCGAGCCUGCAUUCGAUACUGGGCGGCUAGAGUCUGGUAGGGGGAUCUGGAAUUCCUGGUGUAGCGGUGGAAUGCGCAGAUAUCAGGAGGAACACCGGUGGCGAAGGCGGGAUCCUGGGCCAGUACUGACGCUGAGGAGCGAAAGCGUGGGGAGCAAACAGG